GGGGAAUUUUCCGCAAUGGGCGAAAGCCUGACGGAGCAAUACCGCGUGAGGGAGGAAGGCUCUUGGGUCGUAAACCUCUUUUCUCAAGGAAGAAAGAUGACGGUACUUGAGGAAUAAGCAUCGGCUAACUCCGUGCCAGCAGCCGCGGUAAUACGGAGGAUGCAAGCGUUAUCCGGAAUGAUUGGGCGUAAAGGGUCCGCAGGUGGAACUGAAAGUCUGCUGUUAAAGAAUUUGGCUCAACCAGAUAAAAGCAGUGGAAACUACAGAACUAGAGUAUGGUAGGGGUAGAAGGAAUUCCUAGUGUAGCGGUGAAAUGCGUAGAUAUUAGGAAGAACACCGGUGGCGAAAGCGUUCUACUAGACCAAGACUGACACUGAGGGACGAAAGCUAGGGGAGCGAAUGGGAUUAGAUACCCCAGUAGUCA
rnacentral:rRNA from 1 species